AUGAACGCUAGCUACAGGCUUAACACAUGCAAGUCGAGGGGCAGCAUGGUCUUAGCUUGCUAAGACUGAUGGCGACCGGCGCACGGGUGAGUAACACGUAUCCAACCUGCCGUCUACUCUUGGACAGCCUUCUGAAAGGAAGAUUAAUACAAGAUGGCAUCAUGAGUCCGCAUGUUCACAUGAUUAAAGGUAUUCCGGUAGACGAUGGGGAUGCGUUCCAUUAGAUAGUAGGCGGGGUAACGGCCCACCUAGUCUUCGAUGGAUAGGGGUUCUGAGAGGAAGGUCCCCCACAUUGGAACUGAGACACGGUCCAAACUCCUACGGGAGGCAGCAGUGAGGAAUAUUGGUCAAUGGGCGAGAGCCUGAACCAGCCAAGUAGCGUGAAGGAUGACUGCCCUAUGGGUUGUAAACUUCUUUUAUAAAGGAAUAAAGUCGGGUAUGCAUACCCGUUUGCAUGUACUUUAUGAAUAAGGAUCGGCUAACUCCGUGCCAGCAGCCGCGGUAAUACGGAGGAUCCGAGCGUUAUCCGGAUUUAUUGGGUUUAAAGGGAGCGUAGAUGGAUGUUUAAGUCAGUUGUGAAAGUUUGCGGCUCAACCGUAAAAUUGCAGUUGAUACUGGAUAUCUUGAGUGCAGUUGAGGCAGGCGGAAUUCGUGGUGUAGCGGUGAAAUGCUUAGAUAUCACGAAGAACUCCGAUUGCGAAGGCAGCCUGCUAAGCUGCAACUGACAUUGAGGCUCGAAAGUGUGGGUAUCAAACAGGAUUAGAUACCCUGGUAGUCCACACGGUAAACGAUGAAUACUCGCUGUUUGCGAUAUACAGCAAGCGGCCAAGCGAAAGCGUUAAGUAUUCCACCUGGGGAGUACGCCGGCAACGGUGAAACUCAAAGGAAUUGACGGGGGCCCGCACAAGCGGAGGAACAUGUGGUUUAAUUCGAUGAUACGCGAGGAACCUUACCCGGGCUUAAAUUGCAGAUGAAUUACGGUGAAAGCCGUAAGCCGCAAGGCAUCUGUGAAGGUGCUGCAUGGUUGUCGUCAGCUCGUGCCGUGAGGUGUCGGCUUAAGUGCCAUAACGAGCGCAACCCUUGUUGUUAGUUACUAACAGGUCAUGCUGAGGACUCUGACAAGACUGCCAUCGUAAGAUGUGAGGAAGGUGGGGAUGACGUCAAAUCAGCACGGCCCUUACGUCCGGGGCUACACACGUGUUACAAUGGGGGGGUACAGAGGGCCGCUACCACGCGAGUGGAUGCCAAUCCCCAAAACCUCUCUCAGUUCGGACUGGAGUCUGCAACCCGACUCCACGAAGCUGGAUUCGCUAGUAAUCGCGCAUCAGCCACGGCGCGGUGAAUACGUUCCCGGGCCUUGUACACACCGCCCGUCAAGCCAUGGGAGCCGGGGGUACCUGAAGUGCGUAACCGCGAGGAGCGCCCUAGGGUAAAACUGGUGACUGGGGCU
rnacentral:rRNA from 1 species